AGCAGCCGCGGUAAUUCCAGCUCCAAUAGCGUAUAUUAAAGUUGUUGCAGUUAAAAAGCUCGUAGUUGAAUUUCGGGAUCAAUAUAUCGGUCGUGCCUUGGUACGUACUGGUAUCAUUGGUUUCUCCUUUCUGACGAACCAUGAUGUCAUUAAUUUGGUGUUAUGGGAAGUUAGGACUGUUACUUUGAAAAAAUUAGAGUGUUUAAAGCAGACUUUGGCUUGAAUACAUUAGCAUGGAAUAAUGAAAUAGGACGUUCGAACCUAUUUUGUUGGUUUCUAGGAUCAACGUAAUGAUUAAUAGGGAUAGUUGGGGGCAUUAGUAUUCAAUUGUCAGAGGUGAAAUUCUUGGAUUAUUGGAAGNCUAACUAACUGCGAAAGCAUUUGCCAAGGAUGUUUUCAUUAAUCAAAGAACGAAGUUAGGGGAUCGAAGACGAUCAGAUACCGUCGUAGUCUUAACCAUAAACUAUGCCGACUAGGGAUCGGAUGAUGUUAAUUUUUUAAUGACUCAUUCGGCGCCUUA
rnacentral:rRNA from 1 species